GGCCUGAUGGUCUAGGCGGGGUAUGCCAUUGCGAUUAGAGGGCUUUCUUUCGAUGAGGUCCCGGGUUCAAUUCCCGGUAGGGCCC